rnacentral:rRNA from 1 species
GGCAGACGGGUGAGUAACGCGUGGGAACGUGCCCUUCAGUUCGGGAUAACCCAGGGAAACUUGGGCUAAUACCGGAUACGUGCGAGAGCAGAAAGAUUUAUCGCUGAAGGAUCGGCCCGCGUCUGAUUAGCUAGUUGGUAGGGUAAUGGCCUACCAAGGCGACGAUCAGUAGCUGGUCUGAGAGGAUGACCAGCCACAUUGGGACUGAGACACGGCCCAAACUCCUACGGGAGGCAGCAGUGGGGAAUAUUGGACAAUGGGCGCAAGCCUGAUCCAGCCAUGCCGCGUGAGUGAUGAAGGCCUGCGGGUUGUAAAGCCCUUUCGGUGGGGAAGAAAAGCCUCGAGCUAAUACCUCGGGGUCUUGACGUAACCCAUAGAAGAAGCACCGGCUAACUCUGUGCCAGCAGCCGCGGUAAUACAGAGGGUGCGAGCGUUAAUCGGAAUUACUGGGCGUAAAGCGCGCGUAGGCGGCUUUGCAAGUCGGGUGUGAAAUCCCCAGGCUUAACCUGGGAACUGCAUUCGAGACUGCAUUGCUAGAGUAUGGGAGAGGGAAGUGGAAUUUCCGGUGUAGCGGUGAAAUGCGUAGAUAUCGGAAGGAACAUCAGUGGCGAAAGCGACUUCCUGGACCAAUACUGACGCUCAUGUGCGAAAGCGUGGGGAGCAAACAGGAUUAGAUACCCUGGUAGUCC